rnacentral:rRNA from 1 species
UACGGAGGGAGCUAGCGUUGUUCGGAAUUACUGGGCGUAAAGCGCGCGUAGGCGGCUUUGUAAGUUAGAGGUGAAAGCCCGGGGCUCAACCCCGGAAUAGCCUUUAAGACUGCAUCGCUAGAAUCCGGGAGAGGUGAGUGGAAUUCCGAGUGUAGAGGUGAAAUUCGUAGAUAUUCGGAAGAACACCAGUGGCGAAGGCGGCUCACUGGACCGGUAUUGACGCUGAGGCACGAAAGCGUGGGGAUCAAACAGG